rnacentral:rRNA from 1 species
GACGAACGCUGGCGGCGUGCCUAAUACAUGCAAGUCGAACGCAGUGGGGAUGGGUGAGUAACACAUGGGUAACCUCCCAUCAGAGGGGAUAACACUUGGAAAAAGGUGCUAAACCGAUACGGAUGGAGGAACCCGAUGUGCAUUAGCUAGUUGGUGAGGUAACGGCCCACCAAGGCCACGAUGCAUAGACGGCCGUAGAGGGUGAUCUGCCACACUGGAACUGAGACACGGGCCAGAGUCCUACGGGAGGCAGCAGUAGUGAAUCUUCGGCAAUGGACGAAAGUCUGACCGAGCAACGCCGCGUGAGUGAAGAAGGUUUUCGGAUCGUAAAGCUCUGUUGUUAGGGAAGCGGUAUCUAACCAGAAAGCCACGGCUAACUACGUGCCAGCAGCCGCGGUAAUAC